rnacentral:lncRNA from 1 species
AAUGCAAUUUCGUUCAUCCAGCUUUAUAUUGUAUAAAUAAGGUACCAAGGUCGAAGAAAGAAUAUUUAUUUCAAAUGGUGAUAAUUUCAUUUUGACAUAUUAUGAAUGAAAUAAGUUUCUUUUUUGUUCAUAGCAUCCGAUUUUUUUUUUUUAUAGAUUCUUGUUUAUCACAGUUUGACCUCCAAAAGAGUGUCUCAUAUUGUGCCUUUUGUAUGUCAUUCUCUCAUAAACCGUCAAUGAAGUUCGCAACCUCAAUUAAAAAAAAACAACUUAAUUUUAUUGGGUAUACACUUUAUUCUAUUGAUGUUUUUUUUAAGAUACAUUGGUCAAGUGUGAACAUCAAGCAUAUAGGGGCACCCGUCUGGGAGCUAAAUUUAUUUAGAACUACAUUUUCAUGACAAAAUGAAUGUGUCCCAAUUGAAUAAAUAAGUAUUUACCAUGUGGAUACUUCAGGAUUAGCAUUUAAUCAUUAAUCACUUAGGUGUUGACCAGUAAGAAACAUUCUAUUUCGGCAAAAUAAAUAAAGAAAAUGCCCCUCUAUGCAUUAAAAAUCAGAUUUGUCGGAAAAUGUUAAAUCGUUAUUGACCUUGCUGUAUGUCACAACUCCGCCGACCAUGAUACUAUUAAGGAUAUCA